rnacentral:rRNA from 1 species
AGCCCUUGACAUGGGGAUUUUGGUCACCGGAGACGGUGUCCUUCAGUUCGGCUGGAUCCCGCACAGGUGCUGCAUGGCUGUCGUCAGCUCGUGUCGUGAGAUGUUGGGUUAAGUCCCGCAACGAGCGCAACCCUCAUCUUCAGUUGCCAUCAGGUUUGGCUGGGCACUCUGGAGAAACUGCCCGUGACAAGCGGGAGGAAGGCGGGGAUGACGUCAAGUCCUCAUGGCCCUUACGGGCUGGGCUACACACGUGCUACAAUGGCGGUGACAAUGGGCAGCGAAGGGGCGACCUGGAGCUAAUCCCCAAAAACCGUCUCAGUUCGGAUUGUACUCUGCAACUCGAGUGCAUGAAGGUGGAAUCGCUAGUAAUCGUGGAUCAGCAUGCCACGGUGAAUACGUUCCCGGGCCU